rnacentral:misc_RNA from 1 species
GACAGCCUUCGUCCUCUCCGCGCUGCAGGAAUCCCAGAAGAUCUGCAAGAACUACGUGAAAAGCCUGGAUGGGAGCAUUGCCAAAGCCUCCGAUUACCUCUCCCGGAAAUACCAAUCUCUGACUCGACCCUACACGGUGGCCCUGACCUCCUACGCCCUGGCCCUAACGGGGAAACUCAACAGCGAGAAAGUCCUGAUGAAGUUCUCCAAAGAUGGCACCCACUGGGCGGAACGCAACGCCCACACCUACAACAUCGAGGGGACGUCCUACGCUCUGCUGGCGCUGCUGCAGAUGGAGAAGGCCGAGCUGACGGGGCCGGUG